rnacentral:lncRNA from 1 species
UGAGACUUUAACUAAAAAGCAAGUUGUGUGUGCUGUUUCUCUUGUUGAAGUUUCGGUUGCUAAUGGUUUGAUAAGAGAUGUUGCAGAAAAUUUGUAAAACUUGGCAUGAGGCUGCUUGAGCUGUUUAAAUUUUGCAUGUCUGUUGUCCGAUUUUGGGUGUUUAAGUCUACAAGCUUUAUGAUGCAAAGUGAGAGAAUUGUGUGAUAGUUGUGUUUGGAUUUGGCUAUGUUUGAAGGCUGUCUUUGUAAAAUGCUGGGUGGCCGAAAGCUUUCAGCAGAAAUUUCUGCUGCAGAAUGUUGUUUCUCAUGUUGUUUUUCACGUCAUUUGCAUGAAGAUUGCAUGAAAACAAUCUUCCAAAAUUGCAAUUUAACCCCUCAGCUUCCCCUUAUUCUGCUAUGGCCCAAAACUUGGAAUAAGUGAACUAAUUUUGUCAUUUUAAGUUUAAUCCUCUGUUUGCAUAUCUUAUGUGACUUUGGGGAUAGAUUAAUUUUUGAUUGUGGGUCAUAAUUGCGGCUUAAUAAUUUUGUUGAUUUGUUUAUUUUGUUUGGUUUAAUGAAAUAAGUGUUUGGGCUAAGAGGUUAUUUUGUGUUUGGGUUUAAAAAAGUUGUUUUGGUUUAUUUUGUUUGUUUUUUCUGGUUUGGGCUAGAGAGCCAAAGCCCAUCUAUUUGGUUGGCUAAUUUUGGGCCAAAAUAAUAUGCUAGACCAUUUCAGUACUUUGGACUUCCGAUCGGGCCAAUUUGUUUUGGCCCAAGAAAUUAAUAAAAUGGCCCCAUGGCCUAGUCCAUUAAGAAACCAGAGAACGCAUUUGCAGAUCAGUCCCUGUACUUUUCUUUAAUUUCAUUGUGGCCCUGGAUAUUUUCAACUACUUUCAAUUCGGUCCUUACUUUAAUUGCAAAUAAGUCCUUGAA